GGAUUGUGGCUCAGUGGUAGAGGGCUCGUCUAGCACAUGCGAGGCCCUGGGUCAAUCCUCAGCACCA
rnacentral:tRNA from 1 species